rnacentral:lncRNA from 1 species
CUGCGCUACCCGGUCUUGGGUUUUUCAUCGGGGAGUGGGAGUGGACUGAAGGCUUGGCCGCUCCGCCUCACUGAGCCGGCUCAGCCAGCGCAGCUGUUCCUGGAACGCCAGUCCCUUAGGAUGGGAGAGAGCGGAGAAGGCAAAGAGGAACAGACUGGGAAAGAGACUGGAUAGAUUCUAAUAUGGUGAAAACAUCAGAAGCAGUUCAGGGACUAGGAAGUGGGAACUCUAGAGAUGACAGACAUUCUGCUGGGUGGUUUUUAAAGUUUCUUCCAGAGUCAUCUGCCUCAUUAACAACAAUUUUUGUGGAAGAAGUCUGUCUUUGAUUUUAUGAACUCACGUGACUCCUUGGUCUGUUACGAAUGCACAAUGCUCCAGUCCUUCAAUAAGCCCAUUACAUACUUUCACCAUGUCAUCUAUAGGUGCUUUUUCUCCAGUGUAAACAUCAUCUUCGUCAUCACUCUUACAAUGCUCACCUUGAUUCAGAACCAUUUUGAC